CAGCCGCCACGGGAAUACGUAGGUGGCAAGCGUUGUCCGGAAUUAUUGGGCGUAAAGCGCGCGCAGGCGGAUAGGUCAGUCUGUCUUAAAAGUUCGGGGCUUAACCCCGUGAUGGGAUGGAAACUGCCAAUCUAGAGUAUCGGAGAGGAAAGUGGAAUUCCUAGUGUAGCGGUGAAAUGCGUAGAUAUAUGGAGGAACACCGGUGGCGAAAGCGGCUCUCUGGCUUGUAACUGACGCUGAGGCUCGAAAGCCAGGGGAGCGAACGGGAUUAGAUACCCCAGUAGUCCCUGUCUCUUAUACA
rnacentral:rRNA from 1 species